rnacentral:rRNA from 1 species
GGUAAUACGGAGGAUCCAAGCGUUAUCCGGAAUCAUUGGGUUUAAAGGGUCCGCAGGCGGCCUGUUAAGUCAGAGGUGAAAUCCUACAGCUCAACUGUAGAACUGCCUUUGAUACUGAUAGGCUUGAGUUAUUGUGAAGUGGUUAGAAUGUGUGGUGUAGCGGUGAAAUGCUUAGAUAUCACACAGAACACCGAUUGCGAAGGCAGCCAACUAAACCAUCAUUGACGCUGAGGGACGAAAGCGUGGGGAGCGAACGGGAUUAGAUACCCUGGUAGUCCACGCCGUAAACGAUGAUUACUCGGUAUUGGCUUCGGUCAGUGCCCAAGCGAAAGUGAUAAGUAAUCCACCUGGGGAGUACGCCCGCAAGGGUGAAACUCAAAGGAAUUGACGGGGGCCCGCACAAGCGGUGGAGCAUGUGGUUUAAUUCGAUGAUACGCGAGGAACCUUACCAGGGUUUAAAUGCAGAACGACAGGGGUGGAAACACCCCCUUCUUCGGACGGACUGCAAGGUGCUGCAUGGUU